rnacentral:tRNA from 1 species
GGGUGAGUAGCUCAGUUGGUCAGAGCGCAUCUCUUACACAGAUGAGGUCGCAGGUUCGAGCCCUGUCUUACCCACCA